GGUCAAGUGACAAAGGGUCCAUGGUGGAUGCCUUGGAGCUAUCCGACGAUGAAGGCCGUGGUAAGCUGCGAAAAGCUUGGGUAAGGAGCAAACAUCCGCUAUAACCCGAGAUUGCCGAAUGGGGUAACCCGCUAGUUUUAAUGACUAGCAUUAUAUGUGUGAAUACAUAGCCGUAUAAAGUGAGACUCAGGGAACUGAACCAUCUAAGUACCUGAAGGAAAAGAAAUCAAUUGAGAUUCCCUUAGUAGCGGCGAGCGGACGGGGAAGAGCCCAAACCAGUAAGUUUUCGGAUUUAUUGGGGUUGUAGGGCCAUCUAUAUGAGAGUGAUAAACCAGUUUGUUAGCGGAAUGUCUCUGGGAAGAGCAACCGAAGAGGGUGAAAGUCCCGUAUGUGAAAACGAAUUGGCUC
rnacentral:rRNA from 1 species